rnacentral:rRNA from 1 species
AUGCAGCCCAAAUUGGGUGGUAAAUUUCGUCCAAGGCUAAAUACUGGCGAGAGACCGAUAGCAAACAAGUACCGCGAGGGAAAGAUGAAAAGGACUUUGAAAAGAGAGUCAAAGAGUGCUUGAAAUUGUCGGGAGGGAAGCGGAUGGGGGUCGGCGAUGCGACUCGGUCGCAUGCGGAACGGUUGUGAGCCGGUCUGCCAAUCGGCUCGAGUUGUGGGUCGAUGCGGAUUGUGGCGGCGGUCAAAGCCCGAGCUUUUGAUGAUGCUUGCGGAGAUGUCGUCGUCAUAAUUGUGGAUGAAAUCGUGCAUCGUUAUGGUGGUGCUACGGCACCUGCACGCUCCAGGCAUCGUCCCGUGGGCUCCCCAUUCGACC